rnacentral:rRNA from 1 species
UACGUAUGGUGCAAGCGUUAUCCGGAUUUAUUGGGUGUAAAGGGAGCGUAGACGGUCAAGUAAGUCUGGAGUGAAAGGCAGGGGCCCAACCCCUGGACUGCUCUGGAAACUAUUUAACUAGAGUGCAGGAGAGGUAAGCGGAAUUCCUAGUGUAGCGGUGAAAUGCGUAGAUAUUAGGAGGAACACCAGUGGCGAAGGCGGCUUACUGGACUGUAACUGACGUUGAGGCUCGAAAGCGUGGGGAGCAA